rnacentral:rRNA from 1 species
CAGCAGCCGCGGUAAUACGGAGGGUGCAAGCGUUAAUCGGAAUUACUGGGCGUAAAGCGCACGCAGGCGGUCUGUCAAGUCAGAUGUGAAAUCCCCGGGCUUAACCUGGGAACUGCAUUUGAAACUGGCAGGCUAGAGUCUUGUAGAGGGGGGUAGAAUUCCAGGUGUAGCGGUGAAAUGCGUAGAGAUCUGGAGGAAUACCGGUGGCGAAGGCGGCCCCCUGGACAAAGACUGACGCUCAGGUGCGAAAGCGUGGGGAACAAACAGGAUUAGAGACCCCAGUAGUCCCUGUCUCUUAUAC